UCUCUCUCUCUCUCUCAAAAAUAAAUAAACAUUAAAAAUUUUUUUUUCAAUAGUAGAAUAAAAGUAAAAUGAGGAAAUAGCAGAAUUCAUAAUUCAUCGAAUGCUUUCCACGUGUCACGGCCUGUGAUAGGCUCUUGCAAUUUUCAGCUUCUAACUUCCCUGGAGCUCUGAGAGGUGGGUAUUCUGGGCCUUCCGUCCUGAUCAGGACACAGAGGUUCAGACAUUUAACUUGCCCAAGGCCAGCCACCAGGGAAACGGUAAAGGCAGGAGGGAAACCCGAGGCUCUGGCGGGCUGGGGCAAACCGUUUCCUGGCGACCGACGAUGCGCUAGGUGAAGGAAAGCAAGACCACGGGAGGUUGCGAAGCUGCUCUCUGGGUUUGAACUUGCCCGUGACAAGACGGGCACGGACACCAAGCCACGUUCCCUACGCUCCGUGUGACUGGAGUUCCCGCACGAGAUGAGGUUGAACCUCAUGAAAUUGCCGGCAGCCAAUCGAGUUCGAACUACAAAACGAGCGAGUCCCUUUGGAGCCUGUCCCGCGCCGCUGGUAGAGGACGGAGGUGCGGGGACCUCCCACCUCUGGCUGUGCGAACCCCUCGGGACAGACGUGCAAGAAAGACGGCAGGUGGGAAGAAACCUGCGGAGACCCCUCUCAGGAGCAGACCGGAAGGAGGCAUUGGGAGUUGCAGGGCACUUACCUAAGCCAGGCGCCCUGGGAGUCGCUGGACGCACGCCGUCUCAGAAUCUCCGCGAACAGCUCUGGAGAACACGAUGCCCGUUUUACAGAUGCAGAGACUGAGGUCCAGGGAUGAGCUUGCUCAAGGUCGCUCAGCUGAUUUCCAUUUGCUAGAUGCGAAUAGUGAGUCUCAGAGUGGUUAAGAGGCUUCUUCUCCGAGCUUACUCAGCUGGCCACCAUCAAGUGGAACUUGAACUCUUCCCCGGUGGCCCCCCGUGCUCAGCCGUCUUCGGGAUUUCACCUUGAACCUCUGAACCCAAAGGCUUGCCUGACAGCAGGCCGCUCUUUGGCUUCUGGCUUCCCAGUUGGGAGAGGAGGAAGCAGGGGCCCUCCCUCUGACCCACCCAGCCACCCACCCGAGGUACCAUUAAAGUUAAUUGUUUUUACUGCCAGUU